CCUACGGGUGGCUGCAGUGGGGAAUAUUGGGCAAUGGGCGCAAGCCUGACCCAGCAACGCCGCGUGAAGGAAGAAGGCUUUCGGGUUGUAAACUUCUUUUGUCAGGGACGAAGCAAGUGACGGUACCUGACGAAUAAGCCACGGCUAACUACGGGCAAGCAGCCGCGGGAAUACGUAGGUGGCAAGCGUGAUCCGGAUUUACUGGGUGUAAAGGGCGUGUAGGCGGGACUGCAAGUCAGAUGUGAAAACCACGGGCUCAACCUGUGGACUGCAUUUGAAACUGUAGUUCUUGAGUACUGGGGAGGCAGACGGAAUUCCUGGUGUAGCGGUGAAAUGCGUAGAUAUUAGGAGGAACACCAGUGGCGAAGGCGGUCUGCUGGACAGCAACUGACGCUGAGGCGCGAAAGCGUGGGGAGCAAACAGGAUUAGAUACCCGAGUAGUC
rnacentral:rRNA from 1 species